ensembl:lncRNA
CCUGGCCCCUCCGUCACUACCCAUGCCUCCAUCCAACACAUCAGUGCUGGAUGUUAACCAUGAGAAUUUAUGGCCAGGAGUGUGGGCUUUUUGGCCUGAACUUUGCACCAUCUGAUUUGUUCAAGUGUCACCCUGCAGCACAAAGGAAGCCAAAUAGCCCUGAAAGUCAACAGGAGAAAACUUUAUUGCCAGAUCCAAACUAGAAGGCAUCGAACGCCCACUCGCCCCACGCAUCAGCUGACAAAAGCCAGCACAGCAUCCCUGGCCCACACACCUCUUUCCACCAAAGCUCGGGGCCGUGAGAAGAUGUCAUCCCCACACCCAGGGCCUCAUGGAGGGCCGCCGCCGCCACAUCCCGGGCCUGGGCACCCACCCGCACCGCACAGUCCUCCAGGGCAUCACCAC